AUAUUGAAUAUUAUCCUAUUGAAAUAUGGUCACCAAAGGAAAUUUCAAUAUUAAUUACUGAUUCCAAAGGAUAUAAAGUACCAUUUGAAUCUUCAACAGUUCCAAUAUUUAUUACUCUACACUUCAGAAAACGAAUCGAAAUGCUAUAAAUAAAACUGUACAAAUCUAAAUUAGUUCAGAGUAGAAAUAGUCAUCAUGACGAGAUCUUAUCAACAAUAUUAUUUAAAUCAAUGUGGUGGUGGGUUAAAUCAUAUAGGAAGUCUAUAUGUGACACCCAGAGUUAUCCAACAAGGUAGAGGAAUUGGAAAUUUUUUUAGUGGGCUUUUUAAUUAUAUAAAACCACUCUUCCUUUCGGGGAUAAACGCUAUUAAAAAUCAAGCCUCUGAAACUGGAAAGGCUGUAAUAAAUGAGUUUGGUCGAAAACCUUUAAGAAACAUUAUCCAAGAACAAAGCAAAAUUGCAUUGCAAAAUCUGUCAAAUAAAGCAAUAAAUAAAUUUACACGAUUCCAAAAUGGUGAAGGUAAAAAGAAUAAAAAGAGAAGGUCUAGGAAAAAACGAGCUCAUUUAUCAUCUAAACAAGGACGCAAACAUACGCAGUCGAGACCAAUAAAGAAAAAAUCCUCCAAGAAAUUAAAUAUAAAAGAUAUUUUUUCGAAAUCAAAAUGACCACCCAUAUAGAAUGUAUGAAAAGCGAAUUGGAUCUGUUUGAACCACAUCCCACACAAAGCUCUAUUCUGAGAACUGAAGAAGUUUCAUACAAUCCCAUAGCUUCAUUGGACAGCGCCUCUUCAAUUGAAUUCGUUUGCUUAGGAAAUGGUGAAACAUAUCGAGAUCUGUCAAGUGUUUACUUAAGACUUGUUGUACAACUAAGAAAAAAUGAUAAUGGAAGCAUUGAAGGAGACAAUGUUGGAGUAGUGAAUAAUAUUUUACAUUCAAUGUUCAGAAAUCGUAUUUGCAAACGAUUUUAAACUAUGGUAGUGACGCCACUGAAAGUCACUUAACCACUCAAGGCUAUUAUCCUAACUAUGGUAAAUUAUUAUCUGGUAGAUAUGUUAAUACCGAUGGAUCCGUUUUGCUUAAAAAAAUUUUUCAAAACAGUAAUAAGGUUGAACUUUUUGGAAAAGUUAAUGGAGAUAUAUUUAAUCAACCAAAACUGCUUAUAAAUAAUGUUGAUUUAAGAAUAACUUUUAACAUUGAAAAAACAGCAUUUUAUUUAAUGGAAUCUGAAACUGAAUCAAAUCUAAAGAUAUUGGAAGCACAACUCUUCAUGAACCACAUAACUAUUAAUCCAAGCAUUUUAUUGGCUCAUCAUCAUGUUUUACAAACUAAAAAUGCUAUUUAUCCAUAUAGCAAAGCCCAAGUAAAAUCAUUUACAAUAUACCCAGGAAAUAAUACAUUAUCAAUUGACAAUGCAGUUAUUGGACAGAUUCCUAAUUUUUUGGCUUUUUGCAUGGUAAAAAACAAAUCAUAUUCUGGCAAUCGAACUUUGAAUCCUUUCAAUUUUGAACAUUUUAAAAUUCAACGCUUUAAUCUAUUGGUUAAUGGUGUGCAAGUACCAUCGCAGGCUCUUGAGUUUGAUUUCUCGAACUCUGAAAAUGCACAAAGCUCUAGAGGUUAUAAUAUGCUAUUCAGAGCAAGUGGAAUAAGACAUUAUGAUCGAGGCUUGCAAAUUACAAAGGAAAUGUAUGAUAAAAAUAGUUUUAUAUUAGCAUUUGACUUAACUGCUGACCAUUAUAAUUCAACCCAUUGCUCAAACUUAAUUUCUCAAGGAGCCAUUCGAAUUGAAGGACGAUUUUCGGAACCUCUUACUGAAGCAGUUACUUGUUUGGUAUACUGUGAAUAUGACUCAAUGAUUGAUAUUGAUAAACAUCGAAAUAUUCGGGUUCUAUUAUAAAA